rnacentral:rRNA from 1 species
GAUGAACGCUGGCGGCGUGCCUAAUACAUGCCAGUCGAGCGAACGGACGAGAAGCUUGCUUCUCUGAUGUUAGCGGCGGACGGGUGAGUAACACGUGGAUAACCUACCUAUAAGACUGGGAUAACUUCGGGAAACCGGAGCUAAUACCGGAUGAUAUUUUGAACCGCAUGGUUCAAAAGUGAAAGACGGUCUUGCUGUCACUUAUAGAUGGAUCCGCGCUGCAUUAGCUAGUUGGUAAGGUAACGGCUUACCAAGGCAACGAUGCAUAGCCGACCUGAGAGGGUGAUCGGCCACACUGGAACUGAGACACGGUCCAGACUCCUACGGGAGGCAGCAGUAGGGAAUCUUCCGCAAUGGGCGAAAGCCUGACGGAGCAACGCCGCGUGAGUGAUGAAGGUCUUCGGAUCGUAAAACUCUGUUAUCAGGGAAGAACAUAUGUGUAAGUAACUGUGCACAUCUUGACGGUACCUAAUCAGAAAGCCACGGCUAACUACGUG